AAUCAUGCUAGCGAAACAACACCGUUUUGGGGAGGCGGAUUAUUUCCGAUUUGGCCCUCCAUGUAAUUCGCGUGUCGCGAUUUCGCCCAUUAUUUUACUUAAAUUUCAUUUAUUUCUUGUUAUUUUAGUUUUUUUUAACUAUUUGUUUUUUUGCAAUUCGUUUUUUUAAUUUUAUUUUCUCAUCUUCCUCAUCAUCAUUAUUAUUAUUAUUUAAUUAUUAUUUUUAUGUGCAUAC
rnacentral:lncRNA from 1 species